rnacentral:rRNA from 1 species
AUUGAACGCUGGCGGCAUGCCUUACACAUGCAAGUCGAACGGCAGCACGGGUGCUUGCACCUGGUGGCGAGUGGCGAACGGGUGAGUAAUACAUCGGAACAUGUCCUGUAGUGCGGGAUAGCCCGGCGAAAGCCGGAUUAAUACCGCAUACGAUCUACGGAUGAAAGCGGGGGACCUUCGGGCCUCGCGCUAUAGGGUUGGCCGAUGGCUGAUUAGCUAGUUGGUGGGGUAAAGGCCUACCAAGGCGACGAUCAGUAGCUGGUCUGAGAGGACGACCAGCCACACUGGGACUGAGACACGGCCCAGACUCCUACGGGAGGCAGCAGUGGCGAAUUUUGGACAAUGGGCGAAAGCCUGAUCCAGCAAUGCCGCGUGUGUGAAGAAGGCCUUCGGGUUGUAAAGCACUUUUGUCCGGAAAGAAAUCCUUGGCCCUAAUACGGUCGGGGGAUGACGGUACCGGAAGAAUAAGCACCGGCUAACUACGUG